GAUGAACGCUGGCGGCGUGCUUAACACAUGCAAGUCGAACGGAAAGGCUCCUGCUUGCAGGGGUACUCGAGUGGCGAACGGGUGAGUAACACGUGGGUGAUCUGCCCUGCACUUCGGGAUAAGCCUGGGAAACUGGGUCUAAUACCGGAUAGGACGAUGGUUUGGAUGCCAUUGCGGAAAGUUUUUCGGUGUGGGAUGAGCUCGCGGCCUAUCAGCUUGUUGGUGGGGUAAUGGCCUACCAAGGCGUCGACGGGUAGCCGGCCUGAGAGGGUGUACGGCCACAUUGGGACUGAGAUACGGCCCAGACUCCUACGGGAGGCAGCAGUGGGGAAUAUUGCACAAUGGGCGCAAGCCUGAUGCAGCGACGCCGCGUGGGGGAUGACGGCCUUCGGGUUGUAAACUCCUUUCGCUAGGGACGAGGCGCAAGUGACGGUACCUGGAGAAGAAGCACCGGCUAACUACGU
rnacentral:rRNA from 1 species